CGCACGGUGGGGGAAUUGGUAGACCCUCGCGACUGUUAAUCGCGCGCCGAAAGGCACUGCAGGUUCGAAGCCUGCCCGAGCAG
rnacentral:tRNA from 3 species